ACUAGAAUAGUUUAAAAAAAAUGUAAAUUUUGUAAAUUUAAGAUGUUAAUUCUUUUAGUA
rnacentral:tRNA from 1 species